CCUACGGGAGGCAGCAGUGGGGGAAUCUUGCGCAAUGGGCGAAAGCCUGACGCAGCAACGCCGCGUGCGGGAAGAAGGCCUUCGGGUUGUAAACCGCUUUCAGAAGGAACGAAAAUGACGGUACUUUCAGAAGAAGGUGCGGCCAACUACGUGCCAGCAGCCGCGGUGACACGUAGGCACCAAGCGUUGUCCGGAUUUAUUGGGCGUAAAGAGCUCGUAGGCGGUUCGGUAAGUCAGAUGUGAAAAACUUUGGGCUCAACCCCAAAGCCUGCAUCUGAUACUGCUGUGACUUGAGUUCGGUAGGGGAGUGGGGAAUUCCUAGUGUAGCGGUGAAAUGCGCAGAUAUUAGGAGGAACACCGGUGGCGAAGGCGCCACUCUGGGCCGAAACUGACGCUGAGGAGCGAAAGCGUGGGUAGCAAACAGGAUUAGAUACCCUGGUAGUCCACGCCGUAAACGUUGGGCACUAGGUGUGGGUUCCAACCAAACGGAAUCCGCGCCGUCGCUAAUGCAUUAAGUGCCCCCGCCCGUCGGGGAGGUACGGUCGCGAAGAACUAAAACCUAACAAAAGGAAAGUUAGACGGCGUGAGACGUCGCCCGAAGGCGACCGACCGAGGGGGAGGUAGGG
rnacentral:rRNA from 1 species